UACGUAGGGAGCAAGCGUUAUCCGGAUUUAUUGGGUGUAAAGGGUGCGUAGGCGGGAAGGCAAGUUGAAUGUGAAAUACCGGGGCUCAACUCCGGGGCUGCGUUCAAAACUACUUUUCUUGAGUACAGCAGAGGCAAGCGGAAUUCCCAGUGUAGCGGUAAUAUGCGUAGAUAUUGGGAGGAACACCGGUGGCGAAGGCGGCUUACUGGGCUGCAACUGACGCUGAAGCACGAAAGGGUGGGGAGCAAACAGGAUUAGAUACCCUGGUAGUCCACACUGUAAACGAUGAUUACUAGGUGUGGGGAGAUUGACCCUCUCCGUGCCGCAGUUAACACAAUAAGUAAUCCACCUGAGUAGUACGGCCGCAAGGUUGAA
rnacentral:rRNA from 1 species